rnacentral:rRNA from 1 species
GAUCCUGGCUCAGAUUGAACGCUGGCGGCAGGCCUAACACAUGCAAGUCGAGCGGUAACAGGGGUAGCUUGCUACCCGCUGACGAGCGGCGGACGGGUGAGUAAUGCAUAGGAAUCUGCCCGAUAGUGGGGGAUAACCUGGGGAAACCCAGGCUAAUACCGCAUACGUCCUACGGGAGAAAGGGGGCUCCGGCUCCCGCUAUUGGAUGAGCCUAUGUCGGAUUAGCUAGUUGGUGAGGUAAAGGCUCACCAAGGCGACGAUCCGUAGCUGGUCUGAGAGGAUGAUCAGCCACAUCGGGACUGAGACACGGCCCGAACUCCUACGGGAGGCAGCAGUGGGGAAUAUUGGACAAUGGGCGAAAGCCUGAUCCAGCCAUGCCGCGUGUGUGAAGAAGGCCCUCGGGUUGUAAAGCACUUUCAGCGAGGAAGAACGCCUAGUGGUUAAUACCCAUUAGGAAAGACAUCACUCGCAGAAGAAGCACCGGCUAACUCCGUGCCAGCAGCCGCGGUAAU